GACGAACGCUGGCGGCGUGCUUAACACAUGCAAGUCGAACGGAAAGGCCCCUUCGGGGGUGCUCGAGUGGCGAACGGGUGAGUAACACGUGGGUGAUCUGCCCUGCACUUUGGGAUAAGCCUGGGAAACUGGGUCUAAUACCGAAUACACCUCAGUGGUUGCAAUGACUGGUGGGGGAAAGUUUUUGUGGUGUGGGAUGAGCCCGCGGCCUAUCAGCUUGUUGGUGGGGUGAGGCCUACCAAGGCGACGACGGGUAGCCGGCCUGAGAGGGUGUCCGGCACACUGGGACUGAGAUACGGCCCAGACUCCUACGGGAGGCAGCAGUGGGGAAUAUUGCACAUGGGCGCAAGCCUGAUGCAGCGACGCCGCGU
rnacentral:rRNA from 1 species